CGCAUCGUCAUUGGGGAGUAGCCGACCGCUCAUGCGAGCGGGGGCGACGUCAACACACUUGGCCCACAAGGCUAUGGCGUCGCCAGCGAUCCGCCUGGCAAGACCUUUGACCACGCAGCCUCCGAGCGGCCGGGGAGCGCGUGGUCAUGGGUAUCGGACCGGCCGGGAGUCUU
rnacentral:sRNA from 2 species